UACAGAGGUCUCAAGCGUUGUUCGGAUUCAUUGGGCGUAAAGGGUGUGUAGGUGGCGCGCUAAGUCGGGUGUGAAAUUUCGGAGCUUAACUCCGAAACUGCAUUCGAUACUGGCGUGCUUGAGGACUGGAGAGGAGACUGGAAUUCAUGGUGUAGCAGUGAAAUGCGUAGAGAUCAUGAGGAAGACCAGUGGCGAAGGCGGGUCUCUGGGCCACUACUGACGCUGAGAAGCGAAAGCAUGGGGAGCGAACAGG
rnacentral:rRNA from 1 species